GUUCGAUGAAGACUGCCUUGCUCCACUUGGCGUCAGUGUGGCAGCUCAGAGCCAAGAGGCUGGAGUCAUUUAAAGGCCCUCUUCUCAUAUUCUGACAGUUGAUAAUCCAGGACAGCCCUCCCGUGAACCAGUCUCAAGAUACAUGCCCCCAAAGCAAGAGAGACCAGGAUGGAGGCCUUGUUCCUGCCCAUGAUCGACCUUCACAGCCCCACAGCGCCUCCUCUGCUAUGUUUCUGCCACAGAAGCCACUGUCGGCCUCAUCCAUGGGAGAGAAUUUUGACUCGAUCUUUUGAUCAAAACAAAACAAAAAACUUUUCAUCUUGAAAGAGUACGUGAAGUUGCAAGCGUUUCUGUGGUUACGGGUGGAAAGAAAACUAAUCACAGGCACGCACAGGAGGUGAGCAUGCAAGCAGAGGCAGCUGCAGGACUUUGCAGCAGCAAUGGGAAAGUGACCCCUCAGUCUGCCCCAGCUGUCAACCCCCUUCAGAGUCCAUUUGGAGUUGUGGUCCAUGGAGCACUUUGAAGCUGCUGCUGGGCGAAUCACCGGGGAAACAAGGAUGUCCAGAGGCCAGCCAGUGAGCAGCGGAGGGCAGUCUUACUCCACUACGCCCUUCACAGUCUCCGGAUUCCUUCCCAGUGCACAGCUCAUGGAGUUGGGUGAGGGGUUUCCAGUUCUUGCUGAAGAUGGCUCUGGUCCUGCUGCAGGGAUGACUUCAGGUACUGUGUAAGUGCUGACCGGUGCACUGUUCUCUGGGUCACUCCAGGUUCCUGUAUGGGAAAAGCAUCGCGUUGGCAUGAGGUUGGCGUGAGUUGUGUCAGUGCGGGGGAGAGGAUUCAGACUUCGGUCAAAGUUCUACCACUAUCACUUGGCUGCUGUGCCAGUCCCCACACAGAACCAUCACCACGACAGAAGCCAGAACAAGUCAGAGCAUGGGGCUCUUGCCUGCUGGUCUAUGCCUGACCCAUUCUUUGACAUAUGUUUUGUAUAGUGCAAGGGACGGGACUCAAUGCAUCACAUAUGAUAAGUAACUCUACAACUGAGUUAUACUCCUA